UACGUAGGGUGCGAGCGUUAAUCGGAAUUACUGGGCGUAAAGCGUGCGCAGGCGGUUCGUUGUGUCUGAUGUGAAAGCCCCGGGCUCAACCUGGGAACGGCAUUGGAAACUGGCGAGCUAGAGUGUGGCAGAGGGGGGUGGAAUUCCGCGUGUAGCAGUGAAAUGCGUAGAGAUGUGGAGGAAUACCGAUGGCGAAGGCAGCCCCCUGGGCCAAUACUGACGCUCAUGCACGAAAGCGUGGGGAGCAAACAGG
rnacentral:rRNA from 1 species